GACGAACGCUGGCGGCGUGCUUAACACAUGCAAGUCGAACGAAGUGGCGAACGGGUGAGUAACGCGUAAUAAACCUGCCCUUCAGAGGGGGACAACAGUGGGAAACGACGGCUAAUACCGCAUACUGAAGGAGGGGAUUGCGGCUGAUUGGCUAGUUGGAGGGGUAACGGCCCACCAAGGCGAUGAUCGGUAGCCGGUCUGAGAGGAUGAACGGCCACAUUGGGACUGAGACACGGCCCAGACUCCUACGGGAGGCAGCAGUGGGGAAUUUUCCGCAAUGGACGAAAGUCUGACGGAGCAACGCCGCGUGAUGGAUGACGGCCUUCGGGUUGUAAAGCUCUGUUAAUCGGGACGCGGUACCGGAAUAGAAAGCCACGGCUAACUACGUGCCAGCAGCCGCGGUAAUAC
rnacentral:rRNA from 1 species